rnacentral:sRNA from 1 species
UAAUAGCAAUCGUGGCGUGAGGGAUAGUAGUGAAAAUCCUUUUUGUUUUUUCUUUAAAAACAAAAAGAUUGUAGCGGAUAGCCCGACCCGAC